CGAGGGGUAUGGUUCUUCGGAACCGAGACCGGCGCACGGGUGCGUAACGCGUAUGCAAUCUACCUUUUACAGAGGGAUAGCCCAGAGAAGUUUGGAUUAAUACCUCAUAGCAUAGCAGCUUCCCAUGAAGCCACUAUUAAAGUCACAACGGUAAAAGAUGAGCAUGCGUCCCAUUAGCUAGUUGGUAAGGUAACGGCUUACCAAGGCUACGAUGGGUAGGGGUCCUGAGAGGGAGAUCCCCCACACUGGUACUGAGACACGGACCAGACUCCUACGGGAGGCAGCAGUGAGGAAUAUUGGACAAUGGGCGCAAGCCUGAUCCAGCCAUGCCGCGUGCAGGAUGACGGUCCUAUGGAUUGUAAACUGCUUUUGUACAGGAAGAAACAGUUCUACGUGUAGAACCUUGACGGUACUGUAAGAAUAAGGAUCGGCUAACUCCGUGCCAGCAGCCGCGGUAAUACGGAGGAUCCAAGCGUUAUCCGGAAUCAUUGGGUUUAAAGGGUCCGUAGGCGGUUUAGUAAGUCAGUGGUGAAAGCCCAUCGCUCAACGGUGGAACGGCCAUUGAUACUGCUAGACUUGAAUUAUUAGGAAGUAACUAGAAUAUGUAGUGUAGCGGUGAAAUGCUUA
rnacentral:rRNA from 1 species